rnacentral:lncRNA from 1 species
AAACUUGAUUUUUAUUACCAAAUUAUCCUUUUAAAUAAACUAACCAUCAAAUCAUAAAUAAUAAUAAAUUAAUCCUUAAAACUAAAGCCGUCCAAAAUACUCGAUAUCCCAUACCCGACCCGGACCUAUCCGGAUCCGAAUCGGACCCAAUAAAAAAUGAAUAGUAUAUAUAUGGGUAAUAAAAAAAAAUUAUCCAUUAAAGUUUCAGGUAUGAGUCCGGAUA